GCUAUUAUGCCUGAGCCAGCUCUGUUAUUGGUUUCAUGAACAGAUGCGGCGUGCGUAAUAACGUCCAUGAAUAAUCACCAGAAA
rnacentral:ncRNA from 1 species